CGUCCAUGGUGGGACUUGAACCCACAAUCUUCGGUUCCAGAGACCGAUGCCGUAUCCAUCAAACCACAGAA